rnacentral:rRNA from 1 species
UAUCUCUGUAGAGUCUAGCAUAUCAAUAAGCGGAGGAAAAGAAACUAACAAGGAUUCCCUUAGUAACGGCGAGUGAAGCGGGAAGAGCUCAAAUUUGAAAUCUUCAAGGUUUUACCUUGACGAAUUGUAGUUUAAAGAAGUGUUUUCUGUUGGAAGUUUUGGUAAAAGUUCUUUGGAAUAGGACAUCAUAGAGGGUGAGAAUCCCGUAUUUGACCAUUAUUUCCAGCUUUGUGAUACACUUUCAAAGAGUCGGAUUGAUUGGGAAUGCAGUCCAAAAUGGGUGGUAAAUUUCAUCUAAAGCUAAAUACUGGCGAGAGACCGAUAGCGAACAAGUACCGUGAGGGAAAGAUGAAAAGAACUUUGAAAAGAGAGUUAAACAGUACGUGAAAUUGUCAAAAGGGAAGCGUUUGACACCAGUGUUGUUUUCUCGAAAAUCAAUUAAAAAUGAUGGGAUUUUGUGUUGUAUUGACUUUAUCAGCUUUCUGCACUUUUUUCUUAUCUUUUUUAAUGCACUUUUCGUUUAACAAGUCAACAUCAAUUUCUUUUGUUGUAAAAGAGUCAUUGGAAGGUGGCUUUUUCUUCGGAAAAAGUGUUUAUAGCCUUUGGCUUCUGCAAUCGGAGAGAUUGAGGUCUGCAGCGUAGAUCCUUCGGGGUUAGAUACAUUUGUGCUAAGCUAUAGUUCUUUAUAGACAACUUGUUGACUAUAAUCAAUCCUGUAACUUACUCGCUUAUGCUAUUUUACCUACGCUUAGGAUGUUGAGUAGCGACAUACGCAC